GACGAACGCUGGCGGCGUGCUUAACACAUGCAAGUCGAACGGAAAGGCCCUGCUUUUGUGGGGUGCUCGAGUGGCGAACGGGUGAGUAACACGUGAGUAACCUGCCCUUGACUUUGGGAUAACUUCAGGAAACUGGGGCUAAUACCGGAUAGGAGCUCCUGCUGCAUGGUGGGGGUUGGAAAGUUUCGGCGGUAGGGGAUGGACUCGCGGCUUAUCAGCUUGUUGGUGGGGUAGUGGCUUACCAAGGCUUUGACGGGUAGCCGGCCUGAGAGGGUGACCGGCGACAUUGGGACUGAGAUACGGCCCAGACUCCUACGGGAGGCAGCAGUGGGGAAUAUUGCACAAUGGGCGGAAGCCUGAUGCAGCAACGCCGCGUGCGGGAUGACGGCCUUCGGGUUGUAAACCGCUUUCGCCUGUGACGAAGCGUGAGUGACGGUAAUGGGUAAAGAAGCGCCGGCUAACUACGUG
rnacentral:rRNA from 1 species